rnacentral:rRNA from 1 species
AAGGUAGCAAAAUCAUUUGUUUAUUAAUUGUAAACUGGAAUGAAGGGUUUAACAAAAAUCCAAUUUUUAUUUUUAAUAAACCGAAAUUAGAUUUAGAGUAAAAAUACUGUAAUGACUUAAAGGGACGAUAAGACCCUAGAAGCUUAAUUUAGUUUUAUUGUUUUAUUGUUUUUUUUAAAAAAAACAAUAAAACAAUAUUUAACUGGGGUAGUGGUUAUUUUAAAUUAAUAAUUAUUAAAAACAAUCUGUUUUUAAGUUCCUUUAAAUAAAGGAAGAUAGGUUAAGUUACUCUAGGGAUAACAGCGUAAUAACUAUGGAAAGUUCUUAUCUAUAUAGAAGUUUGCGACCUCGAUGUUGAAUUAAAAUUUCUUGAUGAGGCAGAAAGUAUUAGAGAAAGUUUGUUCAACUUUUAAUUUUUUACAUGAUCUGAGUUCAAACCGG